rnacentral:rRNA from 1 species
CGGCGGACGGGUGAGUAAUGCCUAGGAAUCUGCCUGGUAGUGGGGGACAACGUUUCGAAAGGAACGCUAAUACCGCAUACGUCCUACGGAGAAAGCAGGGGACCUUCGGGCCUUGCGCUAUCAGAUGAGCCUAGGUCGGAUUAGCUAGUUGGUGAGGUAAUGGCUCACCAAGGCGACGAUCCGUAACUGGUCUGAGAGGAUGAUCAGUCACACUGGAACUGAGACACGGUCCAGACUCCUACGGGAGGCAGCAGGC